rnacentral:rRNA from 1 species
AGCUCCAAUAGCGUAUGUUAAAGUUGUUGCGGCUAAAAAGCUCGUAGUUGGAUUUCUGUUGAGAACGUCCGGUCCGCUCUAUGAGCGUGUAUCUGGUUCGGUCUCGGCAUCCGCUCUGCAUACGUGUCUGCGCUUAAUUGCGUGGGCCGGAGGUAGGGCCUUUUACUUUGAGGAAAUUAGAGUGUUCACGGCAGGCAAUCGCCCUGAAUAUAUUAGCAUGGAAUAAUAACAUAGGAUCUUGGUUCUAUUUUGUUGGUUUCUA